rnacentral:rRNA from 1 species
GACGAACGCUGGCGGCGUGCCUAAUACAUGCAAGUCGAACGCAGUGGGGACGGGUGAGUAACACGUGGGUAACCCCCGAUCAGGGGGGGAAACAGUUGGAAACAGGUGCUAAACUGAAACUGAGGGAUGGACCCGCGUGGCAUUAGCUAGUGGGUGAGGUAACGGCUCACCAAGGCCACGAUGCAUAGCCGACCUGAGAGGGUGAUCGGCCACACUGGGACUGAGACACGGCCCAGACUCCUACGGGAGGCAGCAGUAGGGAAUCUUCGGCAAUGGACGAAAGUCUGACCGAGCAACGCCGCGUGAGUGAUGAAGGUUUUCGGAUCGUAAAACUCUGUUGUUAGAGAAGCGGUAUCUAACCAGAAAGCCACGGCUAACUACGUGCCAGCAGCCGCGGUAAUAC